GACGAACGCUGGCGGCGUGCUUAACACAUGCAAGUCGAACGGCAGCACAGGAGAGCUUGCUCUCUGGGUGGCGAGUGGCGGACGGGUGAGGAAUACAUCGGAAUCUACCUUUUCGUGGGGGAUAACGUAGGGAAACUUACGCUAAUACCGCAUACGGCCUACGGGUGAAAGUGGGGGACCGCAAGGCCUCACGCGAUGAGAUGAGCCGAUGUCCGAUUAGCUAGUUGGCGGGGUAAUGGCCCACCAAGGCGACGAUCGGUAGCUGGUCUGAGAGGAUGAUCAGCCACACUGGAACUGAGACACGGUCCAGACUCCUACGGGAGGCAGCAGUGGGGAAUAUUGGACAAUGGGCGCAAGCCUGAUCCAGCCAUACCGCGUGGGUGAAGAAGGCCUUCGGGUUGUAAAGCCCUUUUGUUGGGAAAGAAAUCCUAUCGGUUAAUAACCGGUGGGGAUGACGGUACCCAAAGAAUAAGCACCGGCUAACUACGUGCCAGCCGCCGCCGUAACAC
rnacentral:rRNA from 1 species